rnacentral:tRNA from 1 species
UGGGGGAUCGUCUAGCGGUAGGACGACAGGCUCUGGACCUGUUAGCCGGGGUUCGAAUCCCUGUCCCCCAG